rnacentral:rRNA from 1 species
AUCAUAACCCUUUGCUGUCCGACUCUGUUGCCUCCGGGGCGACCCUGCCUCCGGGCGGGGGCCCCGGGUGGACACGUUCAAACUCUUGCGUAACUUUGCAGUCUGAGUAAAUUUAAUUAAUAAAUUAAAACUUUCAACAACGGAUCUCUUGGUUCUGGCAUCGAUGAAGAACGCAGCGAAAUGCGAUAAGUAAUGUGAAUUGCAGAAUUCAGUGAAUCAUCGAAUCUUUGAACGCACAUUGCGCCCCCUGGUAUUCCGGGGGGCAUGCCUGUUCGAGCGUCAUUUCACCACUCAAGCCUCGCUUGGUAUUGGGCGACGCGGUCCGCCGCGCGCCUCAAAUCGACCGGCUGGGUCUUCUG